GACGUAGGGGGCUAGCGUUGUCCGGAAUCAUUGGGCGUAAAGAGCGCGUAGGCGGCUAGAUAAGUCCGGUGUGAAAGUCACAGGCUCAACCUGUGAAUGCCGCUGGAAACUGUCUGGCUAGAGUCCGGAAGGGGCGAGUGGAAUUCCUGGUGUAGCGGUGAAAUGCGCAGAUAUCAGGAGGAACACCAAUGGCGAAGGCAGCUCGCUGGGACGGUACUGACGCUGAGGCGCGAAAGCGUGGGGAUCAAACAGG
rnacentral:rRNA from 1 species